CAGUAAUUAGUUUAAAUAAAAUGUUAAUUUUGGGGAUUAAUGAUAGGGAUUUCCCUCUUACUGA
rnacentral:tRNA from 2 species